CCAUUAACUUUGCAGCAAAGUCAAAAGCACAUGAACUGAACAUGGUGAUCCCAUCAGAAACUCCUUUGAAGCAUUCCUUUGUGCAGCAGAACCAUAACUUCAGACCUCAUUCAAUUCAACAAUAUGCCAGCAGGGAAGAUCUUCUAUGAGAUGGUCAAUUUGCCAAGCCACUUCUGUGUUCGUCAUCCAGUUAAGGACAACAGCUGGAUCACAGAGGCAGGAGAAUCCACAGGAAUGUCUGGCUUGCAGCCCAACAAUGGGAAGUCACACUACUGAAGCAGUGGGAGACCCAGGAGGAACCUCACAUUAGAUAUCAUCACAAAAGGCUUCAAACUCAGUACGCAAAAGCAAAGGUCAGGAGUGUAGGGGAGUCUCAGAUGUAUCACUCUUCCUCAUCACCACCAUUUUCAUUGGGACAAAGUAAAAUGUCCAUUUUUGAAUCAAA